GGGGAGGGAGGCGUGGGAGCUGGUUUGCCGGGGCCACCCAGUGUGGGCUCAGGAAGGGAAGGAAUGUGACUGAGGCUGGGUGUGGCUGGGGAGAGCACAGCCAGUUGUGGGUUUUUCUUGGGGCCCAGAUAUAUGUGAGUGGAGCUGGAGGCCCCUCUCUCCCAGCCCCCAGCACACACACUAGGACCUUUCUUCA
ensembl:misc_RNA